rnacentral:rRNA from 1 species
AUACGGGGGGUGCAAGCGUUAAUCGGAAUUACUGGGCGUAAAGCGCGCGUAGGCGGUUUGCUCAGUCGGAUGUGAAAGCCCAGGGCUCAACCUUGGAACUGCAUACGAUACUGGCAAACUAGAGUGUGAGAGAGGAUAGUGGAAUUUCCGGUGUAGCGGUGAAAUGCGUAGAUAUCGGAAGGAACAUCAGUGGCGAAGGCGACUGUCUGGCUCAACACUGACGCUGAGGUGCGAAAGCGUAGGUAGCAAACAGGAUUAGAAACCCUAGUAGUCC